AAUCGACGCGCCCGGCUGCCUCUGCCCCACACGGCCACCCCCGAGUACAGCGCCCCCCACGCCUACCUCCGGUCCAGCCGCGCCGCGCCUCGCCGGGACACGUUGCCGCCGACCCGCCGUGACAUCUCACAUGAGCUGCCUCGACCCGACGCCGAACGCGGCUUUCAACGGGCUGCUAGUUAAAAAGGCCUGAAGGCCGUAACUGGCGCCAACUUUGACCAUGCACUGAAGGUGUUCGACUUAAUUAUGACACUCGAUUACUUGCCGAUUUUGCCCAUUGCCAAGUCUGGUCGGUGGUCGCAGCAGUAAGGAAUUGGCUCUGUUCUGUACCUUGAGGAAGAAAGGGCUAUCUCACAAUGUGUAUUCUUGUAAGGCACUAGUUUUUGGAUUCUGCAAGAAAAGCUAUGGGGCGAAGCAUACAGGGCAUUGGUUCUGAUCCGUUUGAAGGAUGCGAACCAUCUGUUGUAACAUAUUCUUUGGUUGUAAGUUUCCUCUGUAAAGACAGCAAGAUUGACGGCCAGAUGUGUGUUUUUGGGAUGGCUUCUGAAGAGGGUUGCCAUUUCGAUAACACCAUAUACAUGUGCUUCUCUAUGCACUCUGCGAUGCUGAUAGAAUAUCAGAAGCUCGUGUGAUCGUUGAUGUGAUAGAGGAGAGGGGUAUGUCCCUGAUAGUUUCACUGUUUCUGUUCUGGCUGCUGUUUUUUCAAAGUCGAUCAUGUUGAGACCUGCCAGAAUUUUGUACGAAGGGUACAUACCAGGAUGUACCAGGAGUGAUGUUUUUUAUGUUGUCACUUGGAAUAUAUCCAUCAUGGCUUAUGCCGCAAUGGCCACAGCAGGAAGGCUUGACCUCUGAUUAGUAUUAUGGCAGAGGACUUUUACUAUCUACUGUAACAUAUAACAUUAUACUAAAAGGAUUUUGUACAGAGGUGGAUUUCGGAGGGCGUAGGAGAUGCUGGAUCAGUUUACAGGAGCUCGUGUUUACUAUGAUUCAGUGUCCUUCAACACUAUUCUCUCUGCAGCUUGUCGGCCGUGCAGUGCUUCAGUAAUUUGGUGGGUUCUGCAUCAUAUGAUGCUGAACAAAUCUACCUUGAUGGCAUCAGUAUGACAUUCUUAGUUUCUUACUAAGGUACUUCCGCAUGUGUGGGAAGUCUGCAGAAAUGGUUAACCUUUUUGGAGGAAAAAAAAUACUGUUAACCUGGUUGAGAAUAUGAUAAUUUAUGGCAACCAUUCUUUGUUCGUGGUGGUGGUACAACAAGACAUCAUACGAUCUGAAGAUAUUUGAGCAUCCAAGGCUUACGACGUCUUCCGAGGUGGACACGCCCUUGUAGGCUUUCCUUUUUCAGUGUGAGAUUUUAAAUUUGUGAUUGCGAAGUAGUUGUGUCGCUACAUCAUCAAAUAUUAACUUUGUUACAAAGUUCUAGAAUUGUGGCCUUGUGGGGGCAUUGAGUUUUUUUUUUUUCUAAACUUAAAAGUUAUUGAUACUUUGUUGUGAUUGAGUGUAAGCACAAAGCAAGUUGCAUGAUUUAUGGAGGUGUUUCUAAAGACAGUCAUUUAUUCUGUUCCUUUUAUGAAA